rnacentral:rRNA from 1 species
UUGCAGUUAAAAAGCUCGUAGUUGGAUUUCUGCGGGGGCGGGGCGGCCGGUUGCUUAUAGCAACUCGAGCUAGCACUUCCCCCGCAUCCUGCCGCGAACCGUGCUACCAUUAGUUUGGUGGCGCUGGGGAUCGGCUCGUUUACUUUGAGAAAAAUAGAGUGUUCAAAGCAGGCCACACGCCUUGAAUAAGUUAGCAUGGAAUAAUGAUAAAGGACUUCGGUUCUAUUUUGUUGGUGUUCGGGACUGAAGUAAUGAUUGAUAGGGACAGUUGGGGCGGUCAGUAUUCCAAAGCGAGAGGUGAAAUUCUUAGACCUUCGGAAGACUAACAGCUGCGAAAGCGUUCCGCAAGGAUGUUCCCUUUGAUCAAGAACGAAAGUUGGGGGAUCGAAGACGAUCAGAUACCGUCGUAGUCUCAACUAUAAACUAUACCAGCUAGGGAUCGGCCAACGUUUAAUAUAAUCGACUUGGUCGGCACCUUAUGAGAAAUCAAAGCAUCUGGGUUCCGGGGGGGGUAUGGUCGCAAGGCUGAAACUUAAGGAAUUGACGGAAGGGCACCACCAGCCGUGGAAGCCUGUGGCUU